rnacentral:rRNA from 1 species
AUUGAACGCUGGCGGCAGGCCUAACACAUGCAAGUCGAGCGGAUGAUGGGAGCUUGCUCCCGGAUUCAGCGGCGGACGGGUGAGUAAUGCCUAGGAAUCUGCCUGGUAGUGGGGGACAACGUUUCGAAAGGAACGCUAAUACCGCAUACGUCCUACGGGAGAAAGCAGGGGACCUUCGGGCCUCGCGCUAUCAGAUGAGCCUAGGUCGGAUUAGCUAGUUGGUGGGGUAAAGGCCUACAAAGGCGACGAUCCGUAACUGGUCUGAGAGGAUGAUCAGUCACACUGGAACUGAGACACGGUCCAGACUCCUACGGGAGGCAGCAGUGGGGAAUAUUGGACAAUGGGCGAAAGCCUGAUCCAGCCAUGCCGCGUGUGUGAAGAAGGUCUUCGGAUUGUAAAGCACUUUAAGUUGGGAGGAAGGGCAGUAAGUUAAUACCUUGCUGUUUUGACGUUACCAACAGAAUAAGCACCGGCUAACUUCGUGCCAGCCGCCGCCGUAACAC